rnacentral:rRNA from 1 species
UACGUAUGGGGCAAGCGUUAUCCGGAUUCAUUGGGCGUAAAGAGCGCGUAGGCGGUUUGUUAAGCGAGAUGUGAAAACAGGGGGCUCAACCCGCUGCCUGCAUCUCGAACUGGCAGACUUGAGUCUGGUAGAGGAAAGUGGAAUUCCUAGUGUAGCGGUGAAAUGCGCAGAUAUUAGGAGGAACACCAGUGGCGAAGGCGGCUUUCUGGGCCACGACUGACGCUGAGGCGCGAAAGCUAGGGGAGCAAACAGGAUUAGAUACCCUGGUAGUCCUAGCAGUAAACGAUGGGCACUAGGUGUGGGGGGUCAUCAACUCCCUCCGUGCCGCAGCUAACGCAUUAAGUGCCCCGCCUGGGGAGUACGACCGCAAGGUUAAA